AAAAUUUCUUUCUAAAAAAGCAUAACUCAGAUUCUUAAUACAGAUUGUUCCAAAGCACAUUAGGAUGGCGGAGUUAUUCUUAUCAACUUCAGUCUGAAUUACUUUUAAAUUUGUCCCCAAAGGUGGUUUUGACAUUAUGAGUUCUACUCUGAUCUUUGUUCUUGUGUCUCCUGAAGUUCCAUGUAAUAGAUACUCUAACCCGAGAAGUGAUGGCUAUUUAGAUUUUCUUUUGCAUACAAUUCUCAUUCCCAAAGAUGUCUCCCUUUGGUUGUCCAAAAAGCUUUCUGAGGUAUAGUUACUUUUACAAGAGGAAAUACCAUUUUAAUUCAUUUUUGCUCUUGAGAUUGUGUAUGUGUGGUAGGUGUUUUUGUUGUAUUAUUACAGGUUGAUGAAAAGCCCAGAACCUUGAUGACAGAUUGUCUGGUUAUAAAGCAUUUUUUACGUAAAAUCAUCAUGGUGCACCCUAAGGUUAGAUUUCAUUUCAGUGUAAAGGUAAAUGGAAUCCUCUCCACAGAGAUCUUUGGGGUAGAGAAUGAACCCACUUUGAACCUUGGGAAUGGAAUUGCUCUUGUGGUCGACUCUCAGCAUUAUGUGAGUAGACCAAAUUUUGGUACAAUUGAAUCACGCUGCAGCAGAAUUCACCCUGUGCUAGGACAUCCAGUAAUGCUUUUCAUCCCUGAAGACGUGGCUGGCAUGGACUUGUUGGGAGAACUGAUACUGACUCCAGCAGCUGCACUGUGCCCCAGCCCAAAGGUUUCUUCCAACCAGCU
rnacentral:sRNA from 1 species